CCGCCCCGCCGCUGGUUCCUGGGUGUUCCCAGCUCCGCUUUCUCUCUGAGCGGAUUUCCCUCCUUCCUCCCUUUCCAAAAACGCCUUCAUUUGUUUCCAAAGAACAUUUUUGUUGGGAUCUCUGCGAUCCUCCUGUGGCUUUUGCUGUGUUUUCAAGGAUGCUCCCUUCCCAAGUGCUCUGCAGAGUGAAAACUAAUGCAUUCAUUCCAUAUAUUUAUUAUUUAUCAGGCCUUUUUAAUGUCUGACAUCUAAAACUCCUCUAGUUUUGUAUCCCUCAACCCCAAACAACCGAAAACAAAACCAAAAAAGGAAAGAAAAUAAAUACAAAAAAAAUUAAAAAUGCUGUCGAGACAAGCUUUCCUCUGCAGUUUGGGCUCUCUCUAUUUAUCCCUGCUGCUCAUCUUCCUCCUGAUGGACGUUUGCGCCAGACCUGCCAACAACUCCGUGCUGAAGGGAAAAGCGGAGAAGGAAAAGGAGGAGAAGGAUCUGGUGCCCCCCGACCACCUGAACGGCGUCAAGAUGGAGCUGGACGGGCACCUGAACCGGGAUUUCCACCAGGAGGUGUUCCUGGGCAGGGCCAGCCUGGAGCAGCGCGGCAGCAACCGCGACAAGCUCACCGACAUCUUCAGCAAGGUGGACAGAAAUAACGAUAAAAAAAUCAGUGCCAAGGAAAUGCAGCGUUGGAUCAUGGAAAAAACAGAUGAGCAUUUCCAGGAGGCCGUGCAGGAGAACAAAAUGCAUUUUCGAGCUGUGGACCCUGAUGGAGAUGGUCACGUGUCUUGGGAUGAAUAUAAAAUAAAAUUCUUGGCAAGCAAAGGCUUCAACGAAAAGGAAAUUGCAGAGAAAAUCAAAAACAACGAGGAAUUGAAAAUAGAUGAAGAAACGCAGGAAGUGCUGGACAACCUGAAGGAUCGCUGGUACCAGGCGGACAAUCCUCCCCCGGACCUGCUGCUGAGCGAGCAGGAGUUCCUGUCCUUCCUGCACCCCGAGCACAGCCGCGGCAUGCUGCACUUCAUGGUGCAGGAGAUCAUCCGCGACCUGGAUCAGGACGGGGAUAAGAAGCUGACCCUGUCAGAAUUCAUCUCCUUGCCCGUGGGCACGGUGGAGAACCAGCAGGCUCAGGACAUCGACGACGACUGGGUGAGGGACAGGAGGAAGGAAUUCCAGGAGGUCAUCGACGCCAACCACGACGGGAUCGUCACCAUGGAGGAGCUGGAGGAAUACAUGGAUCCCAUGAACGAGCACAACGCGCUGAACGAGGCGCGGCAGAUGAUCGCCGUGGCCGACGAGAACCAGAACCACCACCUGGAGCUGGAGGAGAUCCUCAAGUACAGCGAGUAUUUCACCGGCAGCAAACUCAUGGAUUACGCCCGCAACGUCCACGAGGAAUUCUGAGCUUCCUCCCCCUUUUCCAGAACUUUCUCUUUUCCUCCCCCUCAACAAAAAAAAUAAAAAUCGCAGGGAUAAAGGACUGAGCUCCGAACCGCGGGAAUUGUUCGCUGCUGUCGCCGCUCCUCGCUCGGGGUCGUUCCUGGAUUCCCGAUUUUCCGUCCAUGCCUUGGGGUCUGCAGCUCCUUGGAGUGGUUUUUCCACCAGGAGAAAUUCCUGGAUUCUGGUGGUUUUUUUUCCUUGGUUUGUGGGGUGGAAUCCAGCUGGAAUUCCUUGGGGUCUGCAGCUCCUUGGAGUGGUUUUUACACCAGGAGAAAUUGUGGAAAUUCCUGGAUUCUGGCGGUUUUUUCUUUGGUUUAUGGGUUGAAUCCAGCUGGAAUUCCUUGGAAUCUCCAGCUCCUUGGAGUGGUUUUCCCACCAGGAGAAAUUGUGGAAAUUCCUGGAUUCUGGCGUUUUUUUCCUUUGGUUUAUGGGGUUGAAUCCAGCUGGAAUUCCUUGGGGUCUGCAGCUCCUUGGAGUGGUUUUUACACCAGGAGAAAUUGUGGAAAUUCCUGGAUUCUGGUGGUUUUUUCUUUGGUUUAUGGGGUGGAGUCCAGCUGGAAUUCCUUGGGGUCUGCAGCUCCUUGGAGAGGUUUUCACACCAGGAAAUAUUCCUGGAUUUCAACGGUUUUUUCUUUGGUUUGUGGGGUGAAAUCCAGCUGGAAUUCUUUGGAAUCUCCAGCUCUUUAGAGAGGUUUUCCCACCAGGAGAAAUUGUGGAAAUUCCUGGAUUCUGGCGGUUUUUUUCUUUGGUUUAUGGGGUUGAGUCCAGCUGGAAUUCCCUGGGAUCCCUGGGGAGGAUCCUGAAAUAUUCCCAUGUUUUCCUUCAGCUGCUGGUCCAAGAAAUCCCAAACAAAAGUUGGAUUUUGGGAAUUUUGCUGGUUCCAAGGAAUGUUUGACCUCCUGGGAAUAUCCACACUCAAUUCCAGUGUUUUUCUCGACUUCCUGAAGAGUUUAUUGGGAAUUUAAUGGAAUUUUUCCCCUCUUUCCAGGGGGGUGUGAGGAAGAAUUUGUUUGAAAUAUUACUGAGAAACUCUGUGGAAUAAAUUAAUAAAAUAAAUUUAAGUAACUUUAAUUAAAAUUAAUAUAAAAUUACAUUUUUUUUGUUGACAUCUGCACUGAGAAUGAGCGAUUAUGGCUUUUAAAAAACCAGAUUUCUGUCGAAAACCAAACAGUUGGGAAGAUUUUUGGGAAUUGAAGCUGUUGGACAGAGCAGUGGGAAUUCCAUGGAGUUUGAUGGCUGCUUAAUUCACUGCUAAAAUUAAUGAGCUCUGUGCUAAUUAUGCUGUUAAUGAGCUGCUAAUGAUGAUAUGGGAGGGAUUCCAGGCUUUGGCUGAGCUCUGAAAAUAUCUCUGUCCCAAAUAAAAUUGAUUUUUCCUCUGCUUCCAUCUUUCCUGGGAAAAACCCCUCUUUGGGAAAGAAUUCCUGAAAAUCUGAGAUGUUCUAUUUGAUUAAAUUUAUUCUUAAUAUAAUGUAAAUACAGGAAUUGCUGUCCUUCCGUCCUUUUCCUGCUCUUUAUUUGAUGUUUUUAUUAAACUCCUUGGAUAAAAGGUUUUA